AUGGCAGGAUCACCGGAGGAAAGAACGGCUCCAGAGGCCAGCACGACGAGUAACGCCGGCAGCAGCAGCAGCAGUAGCAGUAGUAGCUCCAGCAGCAGCAGCAGCGACGAUGACGCGCCGGCAGAGCACACCGCAGGAACCGUCGGCGGGCUGGACGGAAGGGCCCCUCCUGAAGAGCCCGCUGCGGUCGACGGCGCCGGCUGCGGCGUCGUGAACGCGCGAGAACAGCAAUGUGACCACAAGGUGGGUGCAGGGACUGGGAGGCUCAACAUCAGGAGGAGCGAUCUCGUGUUGACGCUGAUGGUUGCAGGAGGGGUUGCCGUCGCAGUUGCAGCAGCUUUCCUCGCCAACAAAAAGCGUUGA
rnacentral:rRNA from 1 species